rnacentral:snRNA from 1 species
ACGCAGCUGCGCAGUGGGCACAAAGCGAACUAUUCUUUCGCCUUUUACUAAAGAAUACCGUGUGCCCGCUGCAAUUAGCAGCAUACGCAUAUUUUUGGAGGGUUCUCUCUUUUGUGAGAAGCCCAA